AGCUUUCUGAAUCCGUGAACAGAUUUCGUCAGACAUCAACUUAUUAGGACUGGUCAGACUUUCAAGAUAAGUGAAGUU
rfam:Schistosoma mansoni strain Puerto Rico chromosome 1, complete genome